CGCUCUCAGGCUAUCAUGGCGGCUCCCAGUGGGAAGGGAGCCCGGGCGCCGGAGGCUCCGGGCUGCGGGCCCCGGCCGCUCGCCCGGGACCUGGUGGACGACGUGGACUACGUGGAGGGGCUGUACGUGGCGGUGGAGCGGUGCCCGCUGUGCAACACCACCCGCCGGCGGCUGACCUGCGCCAAGUGCGUCCAGAACGGCGACUUCGUCUACUUCGACGGCCGCGACCGUGAGAGGUUUAUAGACAAGAAGGAACGGUUAAGCCAACUUAAGAGCAAACAGGAAGAAUUUCAAAAAGAAGUGUUAAAAGCUAUGGAAGGAAAAUGGAUAACAGAUCAGUUGAGAUGGAAAAUAAUGUCCUGCAAGAUGAGGAUUGAACAGCUGAAACAAACAAUAUGCAAAGGAAAUGAAGAAAUGAAGAAAAAUUCUGAAGGCCUUCUCAAAACCAAGGAAAAGAAUCAGAAGCUUUAUACUCGAGCACAACGGCAUCAAGAGAAAAAGGAGAAGAUUCAGAGGCAUAACCGCAAACUUGGGGACCUGGUAGAAAAAAAGACCAUCGACUUAAAAAGUCAUUAUGAGCGUCUGGCAGAUCUUCGGCGGUCUCAUAUAUUAGAGCUCACCUCUGUCAUCUUCCCAAUUGAGGAAGUGAAGACUGGUGCGAGAGAUCCCGCGGAUGUGUCUUCAGAGAGUGACAGUGCCAUGACCUCCAGCACCGUGAGCAAGCUUGCCGAAGCCCGGAGGACGACUUACCACUCAGGGAGAUGGGUCUGUGACGACCACAAUGGGGACACCAGCAUCAGCAUCACAGGGCCUUGGAUUAGCCUUCCCAACAACGGGGACUACUCUGCCUACUAUAAUUGGGUGGAAGAGAAGAAAACCACGCAGGGGCCUGACAUGGAGCAUAACAACCCUGCUUACACCAUCAGCGCUGCGCUGUGCUAUGCGACUCAGCUGGCCAACAUUUUGUCUCAUAUACUCGACAUAAAUCUUCCCAAAAAGCUGUGCAACAGUGAAUUUUGUGGGGAAAAUCUCAGCAGACAGAAAUUUACUCGAGCAGUAAAGAAACUGAAUGCAAAUAUUCUUUACUUGUGCUUUUCUCAGCAUGUAAAUUUAGACCAAUUACAACCACUGCAUACCCUCAGGAAUCUAAUGUACCUGGUCAGCCCGAAUUCUGAACACCUAGGCAGGUCGGGACCCUUUGAAGUGCGCGCAGACCUCGAGGAGUCCAUGGAAUUUGUGGAUCCCGGAGUUGCUGGAGAAUCAGACGAGAGUGGAGACGAGCACAUAAGUGAUGAGGAAACCGACUUGGGCACAGAUUGGGAGAACUUGCCAAGCCCCCGGUUUUGUGACAUCCCUUCCCAGCCCGUGGAAGUCUCGCAGAGCCAGAGCACCCAGGCCUCCCCGCCCAUUGCCAGCAGCAGUGCGGGCGGGAUGAUCUCCUCCGCUGCAGCCUCGGUGACCUCCUGGUUUAAAGCUUACACUGGACACCGUUAACGAGCAUGGAUCAAAAUGUGCCAGAUUUGCAUCAGGAAAGUAAACUAGUAAACUAUGUAUUUAGGCCAGAGGACCCAGACCCAGCCUACAUGUUGGUCCUCGUGAUGCUGAUCACAGGCCAGAGGACCCAGACCCAGCCGACAUGUUGGUCCUCAUGAUGCUGAUCACAGGCCAGAGGACCCAGACCCAGCUGACAUGUUGGUCCUCGUGAUGCUGAUCACAGGCCAGAGGACCCGGACCCAGCCUACAUGUUGGUCCUCAUGAUGCUGAUCACAGGCCAGAGGACCCGGACCCGGCCGACAUGUUGGUCCUCGUGAUACUGAUCACAGGCCAGAGGACACAGACCCAGCCUACAUGUUGGUCCUUGUGAUGCUGAGACUAUUCCUGUCACUUUAUGUUGUAGAGAUUGAAUCUCAAGGAACUGAUUCUUGAUGAUUUAGGACUUGAAAGAUAAAAAAACUGUUUAAUAUGAGUUUGUUUUUAUGCGAUCAUUUUUGUACAGAAAACCAGCAGGCAAUUUGAGAUACUUGAUUUCUUUAUAAUUUGGUCACGUUUGGUUUUUAGGUCAAGGAUUUUGGUUUUGUUUGGAAGGGUGGUGUUUAUUUUUGGGGGGGAAGGGGGACGGGGAGUAAUUUAAACAUUAUUUCACUUGUGCUGCUCUGUCGUAGCUCAUCAGACAUUCCUGUUUUUCUUUCUCCCCACACACCAAAGAAACUAAGCUCUUUUCUUUAGGACCCACAUCCAUGAACAGAAGAAAUUCUAGCUGCAAUAAUGUCCUAGAGAUUGUAAACCUAUUUUCUUAUAUUCUGAGUGGAAUUUAGUUCAUUCUUACCUAGAUUAUUGAAUUCCUACCAUCUACACUAUGUGCAGUUUGAAAUGAAACUUAUUUUCUAUGAGUGAAAGAUUAAGUCAUUAAGGUUGUUUGCUAAUGAGGUUACUAGUAAAAGCCACUUUAAUUAAGUGGCCUUUAGUAGUCUUCUGGUGUCCAAUUUGUUUCUAAGGGAUAUAGUAGGUGGCAGGUUUUUCCAGGGAAAGCUAUCCUGCCUGUUUCCUAGAAGUCUUUGUUGCUCUAAGGACACUACCUUCCUCAGAAAUGCAGAGGAAAUCAUAGCUGGUACUCCUCCUGUCUCCUGGGGGAAGCUCCAGGGAAGGAUGUUUCCUCACCAAGAGACCAUUUUCAGCUCGUUUCUUGUCAUUCUCUAGUGACAAUCUUUUAAGAAAACCGUAGAGAGGCAUUAUGUACAAAUAUGUAAGUAGUUUAUUUUUAAUAACUGCAAAAAAAAAUCCUAUGUAACUACAAAAAGAAAUCCUAUGAAAAAUUCCUAACAGGCAUUAUUACCACAUCUUGUUAGUGUGAUUAGCAUGAUAGUACCUCAGAUAAAUCACUUGGGGGUUUGCCCUGCCCUAGCUUCUUUUCUCGUAAUUAUUAGAGAGGAUCUUUGCCUCCAAACCCGAGGUGCUAUAUAGCUUUUGCUAUUGGUAUAUUUAGUGUUUGGCAGAGUUUGGGGUAGAGUUGCAGAAGGGUUGUUUAUUCCUACCCAGGAGUCCCAAGUUCCCUGAGUAUGAAUUUGCCACUUUAGGAGGAAACAGGCUCUGUUUUAACUGCUCAGCUUUAUGUUGCUGGGCUUGUGUUGUACCAUCCAGGCCUGUAAUUCAUAGAGUGGUUGACUUGAACAAACACCAAGUGAACUUAAAAUCCCAUGAGGUAAGACUUACCAGGUACUUCCAACCCUCAAAAAGAAGAGCUUAGUCUCAAGAGUUGAAAGACUGGGAUUUGGGGCUUGAGGGUAGAGCUUGACUUCAGCUGAAAGAUGCACAAUAGUCACGGUUGUUCUCAAAUAAGCCUCUUGGAAACCAUGAAUGUGAGAUGAAGCUUAAGAACAGAAUCCAGAGAUCACAAACUCAUAACUAGAGUAAUUCAACAAACCGUGAAGGGUAUGGGAGAUGUAGGGAUUGAUAGGGUAUAUUUUGUUGUUGUUAUCAACUAGAGGCACUUUACUUAGGGUUAAAAUGAUCAAACCCUUUAGUGGUUAUGAACACCAACAUACUGGCUUACACUGCUGAGGUAUUUUGGUUUUCAUUAUUUUGCACUGGAUCCACCCUGUAAAUAUUCUUAAGUAUACAUUUCAACCACUGUUUUUUCUAUUCUUUUUGCUGCUCAUUAAAUUCUUUCAUGUAGGUGCCAGAACCAUAUGUAAACAGCUUUUUAAAAAAUUGAAGCUGGUUUUUAUUUUUAAACAAAAAGCCAUAGACCUUGGUCCUUUAUUCCACAUUAAAAUGAUUUGUUGAAACAAAAUAAUACUAACAAAAAUCCAGAGGCACCAACAGGCCGCUUAAAAUGGUUUGCUAAAGACUUUUUUAUAAUGGAGUCUAAGAAAAGUUUUGCACAUCUGUAAGUUAAGACAAAAAACAUGUCAGCAUUGGGUCUAGCAGACAGGAUACAUUUAAGGAUUCGUGUGUUGGUAAUUUGGAAAAAAGCAUUUGGUGGCAUGCUGUUAAAAGAACUACAGUGUCUGGGAAUCUCUUCGGUGGUGUCAUGUUGCAGGAAUUUCCCAUUGCUCUGCAACUUCCAAACCAGAUUGAGUCAUACAAAUGUUUUCUAAACUUUUAUUGUAUUAUUACAAUAAACCUUUUACCAGUA